rnacentral:rRNA from 1 species
UGGGGAAUAUUGCACAAUGGGCGGAAGCCUGAUGCAGCAACGCCGCGUGAGUGAUGAAGGCCUUCGGGUUGUAAAGCUCUGUCUUUUGGGACGAUAAUGACGGUACCAAAGGAGGAAGCCACGGCUAACUACGUGCCAGCAGCCGCGGUAAUACGUAGGUGGCAAGCGUUGUCCGGAUUUACUGGGCGUAAAGGAUGCGUAGGCGGAUUUUUAAGUGGGAUGUGAAAUACCCGGGCUUAACUUGGGUGCUGCAUUUCAAACUGGGAAUCUAGAGUGCGGGAGAGGAGAAUGGAAUUCCUAGUGUAGCGGUGAAAUGCGUAGAGAUUAGGAAGAACACCAGUGGCGAAGGCGACUCUCUGGACCGUAACUGACGCUGAGGCAUGAAAGCGUGGGUAGCAAACAGGAUUAGAUACCCUGGUAGUCCACGCCGUAAACGAUGAGUACUAGGUGUAGGAGGUAUCGACCCCUUCUGUGCCGCAGUUAACACAAUAAGUACUCCGCCUGGGAAGUACGAUCGCAAGAUUAAAACUCAAAUGAAUUGAC